GGGGGGGCAAGCGUUGUUCGGAAUUACUGGGCGUAAAGGGCUCGUAGGCGGCCAACUAAGUCCGACGUGAAAUCCCCAGGCUCAACCUGGGAACUGCGUCGGAUACUGGAUGGCUUGAAUUCGGGAGAGGGAUGCAGAAUUCCAGGUGUAGCGGUGAAAUGCGUAGAUAUCUGGAGGAAUACCGGUGGCGAAGGCGGCAUCCUGGACCGACAUUGACGCUGAGGAGCGAAAGCUAGGGGAGCAAACGGGAUUAGAUACCCCGGUAGUCCUAGCCCUAAACGAUGAAUGCUUGGUGUGACGGGUAUCGAUCCCUGUCGUGCCGAAGCUAACGCAUUAAGCAUUCCGCCGUGGGGAGUACGGUCGCAAGGCUG
rnacentral:rRNA from 1 species